GUUGCUACAUUUACAUUUUUGUCUUAAGGAAAUUAUUCUGUCUCCUUAAAUGUUUACCUGUUGAGUGAUUGGGUCUACAGUAUCUCUUAUCUCAAGACUCUUGGCUCGUGUGCAUGAUUGAUUGAUUGAUUGAUUGAUUGAUUGUCAAUGGAGGUCAGUCAACAGUUUUUUGACUGGCCUCUAGUUGGACAAUAUAUUGACUCAACCAAACUCUUGUUUUAUUUUGUCACGCCCCAUGUGCCCAUUUUUGAAACGUUAUGUCAAAGCGUCCACCACACUGCUAUGUUUAUUUUCCACAUCCAGAAUUCCAAGGGUGACCUCAAAGAGGAUCCAUACAGUAUUUAUACACCUGUGGUUCAAACUAAUACAUGAUGUCAAUAUGUAUGACCAGUGGUUAGAAGGUACUGCUUCAACUCAACUGUUGCACCAUGUUUCUUUAGGCCUGCAACCGAUUGGCAACCUGUUCAGGGUGUAGCUGCCUCCACUCAACAGGAGCUUGGUUUACUCCAGCAUUUCUUUUGCCCUGAAAGGAAUCACAGCGAUGGAUAUUUCUUCAACCAUCUCACAGGUUUUAUGACAAGUGACUAUGGUGGUAGGAUAGUUUUGUGAUGUUUUACAGCUUCAGGAAAGCAUGUGAUAAAAAAGGACAGAGUCAAAGUAUUUUUUCCAACCUUUACUUGAGAAGGGAUGUCCAGUAAGAGCAGAGCUCCAUGAACAAUGGUUCUGUUCCAUCACAGACAUACAGUACUCAAACGACCUAAGGAAACCACACUCGUGGUCAUAAAGGAGGGGUAUUUAACUUUAAUUAUUUAACAUUCACAGGUUCUCAUGCGGGAAGUUCCGCAUUUACUGUAUAGUGAGCGGUCAGAAUACGCAGCCCGCUUUGCUGUUAUCUGUGCCGGGACGUGAGCGCCUGCUGCUCCGCUGGCUUCCUUCCACACAACUGCUCCUCUGACCUCCUGUGAAACAUUCCUGAAGGACAUCCUGAGGACAAACAAUGGCAGAGAACAAAGACGUGCAGACGUUCCCAAGCUGCCCUCCACACCCUCCCCCUGGAACAACACCGGGACGGACCGGGCACUGGACGAACACGGCUUUGUUUGAAGGUUAUCUGCUCAGUUUGACCUGCAGAUCUGGUUCCUCAUUAUAGCGCUGAGCCCUGAAGAAGCAGCAGGAAGUCUCGAACCACUUGAUGAAGACCGAUCCCUUGUUUGACCGAGAGCAGCUCCAGUUCCUGCAUCGAUCUCUCCAGGACCCCAGAACAUUCCAACAGGAAAAAAACAAGUUUCUGGGUCUCGCUGACUGAGAAAGUCUGGAUUUAAUGGACUCUCCCUCGUGUUUGUUUGACCUGGGACAUCUGCUUAAACAACCGACAACCCGGAUCAGAGACGGUUUGUUGACUCUGCACUGCCUCCACCAGCUGGUGGUGGGGCCUUCAGUUUCUACGGUGUCCUCUCUGCUCCGACUCCACGCUGCUCCACCCUUCAUAGCAUUCAGAGAGAGGUGGAGGACAAUAUUGUUCACUGUGUGCAGUUCCCUGUGAUCCAUGACCACUACAAUUUAAAAGACAUUCACACAUUAAGUCCAGCCCUCAAUGCGGCUGCACAGACACAGUCAUAAGAAGUAGAUCUUUGUUCUAAAGGAGACUUAUCGUGAUUCAAUGUUUUUUGAACUGAAACAGAAGCUGCUCAAGUCGUGUAAUCUCAGAAAGCUGAAAGUGGGAAAUUCAAUCAUCUCUGACAUCUUGUGUUUCUCAAAGAGUUUCAAUCUCAGUUUUCAGAGUAAACAGAUCCAUCAGAAUAUGCUCUGAUAAGUAAUAGUUUUUGUAGACAUAAACUUACAAAAGUUGUUUAUUAAAAGACAGGAAAAGUAUAAUUUCAGGAGAAAAAAGUGAAAUUAUACACACAAGCCAAUGAACAAUUUUGUGUAUCCAUACAUAGAGUAAGGCUGUGGAACAGAACCAGUUUACACCAACAAUAAAUGUAGAAAAACUGUAUAAUUAGGAAUAGAGAAGACUUAAGUAAAUUUGACUUGAGUGGGGGUGCACUUGAGUGUGCUUGGGACAAAGGAUUUAAAGGGAGCCAAAUGAGUGUUUAUACAUGACAAAUGUGAGACAAAUGUUCCCAUGUGUUAGUUUGUGUGUGCAUAUGUAUCUAUGGGUUUAGUCAUUUUUCCUGUGACAGAUGCAGUGCAUUUGUUUGUGUUGAUCUUCAAAAUCCUAAAGAAGUCAUUUCAGAAUCAACCUUCACUGCAGAUUUCAUUUGCAAUUCUUCACUCUUACAUAAAGAGGUUUUUUUUUAUAUUUACAUUUCUUGUUUUAAAAACUCUGACAUACUAUAUUCUAUCUGAGUUUCAACUGAUAUGCGAGUUUCCGUCUGAAUUUCUACUGAUCAAAACUCUGAUUGUGUUUUUCUUAUUCAAAUGUUCCAGUGUUUAACCCUUUGUUGUAAACACCAUAACGCUUGAGCUCAUUCACAGAGCCGUCAGCAACUUUGCAGUCAUUUUUAAAGAAAAGUCUAUGUAAACGUG